rnacentral:piRNA from 1 species
UAUAUGGGGGCCUUGACCAGUG